rnacentral:rRNA from 1 species
GACGAACGCUGGCGGCGCGCUUAACACAUGCAAGUCGAGCGAGAACCCAGGCUUCGGCCUGGGGGAAAGCGGCGAACGGGUGAGUAACACGUGGGUAAUCUGCCCUCGGCAUCGGGAUAGCCCGGGGAAACCCGGAUUAAUACCGGAUGGCCCGACAGCUCUUCGGAGCGGUCGGAAAAGGUAGCUUCGGCCUCCGGCCGAUGAGGAGCCCGCGGCGGAUUAGCUUGUUGGUGAGGUAACGGCCCACCAAGGCUCCGAUCCGUAGCUGGUCUGAGAGGACGAUCAGCCACACUGGGACUGAGACACGGCCCAGACUCCUACGGGAGGCAGCAGUGGGGAAUCUUGCGCAAUGGGCGAAAGCCUGACGCAGCGACGCCGCGUGAGGGAAGAAGGCCUUCGGGUUGUAAACCUCUUUCAGGAGGGACGAAGCCACUCGGGUUAAUAGCCCAGAGGGUGACGGUACCUCCAGAAGAAGCCCCGGCUAACUACGUGCCAGCAGCCGCAGUAAGAC